rnacentral:rRNA from 1 species
AUUGAACGCUGGCGGCAGGCCUAACACAUGCAAGUCGAGCGGUAACAGGAAGAACUUUGCUUCUUUGCGUACGAGUGGCGGGGGGGAGAGAAAUGUGGGGGAACCUGCUAGAUGACGGGGGUAACUUAGGGAAAACGGUAGCUAUUACGGCAUAAAGAUGCAAGAGCAAGGAGGAAGAGUGUCGGACGGCUUUGCAGUCACUGAUCGAUGGAUCCGCGUGGCAUUAGCUAGUUGGUCAGGUAACGGCUUACCAAGGCAACGAUUCCUAGCCGAGCUGAGAGGGUGACCAGCCACACUGGAACUGAGACACGGUCCAGACUCCUACGGGAGGCAGCAGUGGGGAAUCUUGCGCAAUGGGCGAAAGCCUGAUGCAGCCAUGCCGCGUGAAUGAAGAAGGUCUUCGGAUUGUAAAGUACUUUCAGCAGGGAAGAAGGAAGGAAUGUUUAUCUCUGCGCUUAUUGACGUUACCUGCACAAAAAGCCACGGCUAACUACGUG